AUUGAACGCUGGCGGCAGGCCUAACACAUGCAAGUCGAGCGGAUGAGAGGAGCUUGCUUCUUGAUUCAGCGGCGGACGGGUGAGUAAUGCCUAGGAAUCUGCCUGGUAGUGGGGGACAACGUUUCGAAAGGAACGCUAAUACCGCAUACGUCCUACGGGAGAAAGCAGGGGACCUUCGGGCCUUGCGCUAUCAGAUGAGCCUAGGUCGGAUUAGCUAGUUGGUGAGGUAAUGGCUCACCAAGGCGACGAUCCGUAACUGGGCUGAGAGGAUGAUGAAGCAAAAUUGAACUGAGACACCGUUCAGACUCCUAAGGGAAGCAGGAGUUGGGAAAAAUUGACAAUGGGCGAAAGCCUGAUCCAGCCAUUCCGCGUGUGUGAAGAAGGUCUUCGGAUUGUAAAGCACUUUAAGUUGGGGGGAAGGGUUGUACGUUAAUACCGUGCAAUUUUGACGUUACCGACAGAAUAAGCACCGGCUAACUCUGUGCCAGCCGCCGCCGUAA
rnacentral:rRNA from 1 species